rnacentral:rRNA from 1 species
GACGAACGCUGGCGGCGUGCCUAAUACAUGCAAGUAGAACGCUGAAGGAGGAGCUUGCUCUUCUGGAUGAGUUGCGAACGGGUGAGUAACGCGUAGGUAACCUGCCUGGUAGCGGGGGAUAACUAUUGGAAACGAUAGCUAAUACCGCAUAACAGUAGAUGUUGCAUGACAUUUACUUAAAAGGUGCAAUUGCAUCACUACCAGAUGGACCUGCGUUGUAUUAGCUAGUUGGUGGGGUAACGGCUCACCAAGGCGACGAUACAUAGCCGACCUGAGAGGGGGAUCGGCCACACUGGGACUGAGACACGGCCCAGACUCCUACGGGAGGGAGCAGGAGGGAAACUGCGGCAAUGGGCGGAAGUCUGACCGAGCAACGCCGCGGGAGUGAAGAAGGUUGUCGGAUCGUAAAGCUCUGUUGUAAGAGAAGAACGAGUGUGAGAGUGGAAAGUUCACACUGUGACGGUAUCUUACCAGAAAGGGACGGCUAACUACGUG